rnacentral:sRNA from 1 species
UGAGCUCAUAAACUCAUCAUCAAUCAUGAGGAACGCACAGCGGAAACAUAUUCUUGCAGCCCAUCAGAUCAUCCACAGUUACACGGAAAGCAUGGUUCAAAAGAGAUUAACUGAGGGAGAGCAAGAUGAGGCCUCAAAUGCUGCCAUGUUACUUGAGAAAGAAACUCAAAAUGAGAACAACAGCUAAGUCCUUGGUCCAAUAGAAUGGAAUCUUAAGUCUCAAUCAAAAGGAAUCAUGGAAGGAGGGUUGAGAUGAGAGGGAAGAUUGUGAUUUUUUUGUAAAAGAAGCUGUACAAAUCAUCAUAAAUAAUUCCAAUAGUCUGCACUUCUCCCAAGGUGUGCACUGCUCAUAAACUUGCCAGUGUGUGAUUUAUGAGAAAGGAGAUUUAUUUUCCUUAAACAUCCAAUAAUUUAAAAUGAUUUUCAAUAAUAAUAAUCAAAUGAAAAAGCUUCA